UGCCAGCCGCCGCGGUAAUACGGAGGGUGCGAGCGUUAGUCGGAAUCACUGGGCGUAAAGCGUGCGUAGGCGGCGCAGCAAGUCAGACGUGAAAGCCCUCGGCUCAACCAAGGAAUUGCGUUUGAAACUGCUGUGCUUGAGUCUCGGAGAGGUUGGCGGAAUUCCAGGUGUAGGAGUGAAAUCCGUAGAUAUCUGGAGGAACACCGGUGGCGAAGGCGACUUACUGGCUCGAUACUGACGCUGAGGUGCGAAAGUGUGGGGAGCAAACAGGAUUAGAUA
rnacentral:rRNA from 1 species